rnacentral:lncRNA from 1 species
AUCUUUCUCCAGGCCUGCAGCAACUUAUCCUCUCUUGCAGGUCCGCAACUUCAUUUAGAUCAUGUAUGCACACGAAAGAAGCAAGUUCACGGGCUACUCUAUUCCCCUUGCACACGAACCAAAUACCAAUCUCAUUUAAAAGUGGUCAAGAAUGAGUAUACCUAACAAUCAAGAUGUGCAUAUAUAGAAUGAAGUAAAUUCACCUGUUUAAAUCAAAAAAUAGAUAGGAUUGAUGGGCAUACCUAGAAGGCUACUUGAAGAAUAACACUGAAAUCUAUCAAUUAAGCCAUAAUUUGUUGACGAGAUAAUGCUUCAAUUGAAAUUUUGAAUUAGGUUUGGGCCAAUUAAGAAGCGGCAAAUAGCGCGAAUGAAUAUUUUUGGGGAAAAUUUUUGGAGCCAAUUCAAAGAGUGGAAGACAGCAAGAGAGGGAAUUAAUUUUGAGGAAAAAGAAUUUGUAGGCAAAAGUAUAUUGAGGAAAAAAUACAACAAUAG